CGCGAAUGGGAGAGGGAGGCGGGACGCAGCGAGCGCGGGUCCAGGCUAUCAGAUCGCAGACUCCGAGCCGGAGCUUUCCGCGCGCGCAUGAGCCACUAGCCGCCCGCGCAGCCCGACGCGGAGCCGGAGCGCAGGGGAGCCUGUGCUGGGUGGGCGCAGGGCGGCGGGCUUGGGCUGCCCGGCUCCGGGAACCACACUGGGCGAGGUGAGGGAGGCAGCCGACGGCCACUGCGGGACGUGGACCCCCAGGAGUUUGAAUACCACUCCCACCUGCAGAAAAUUAGCAACAUCUCCCAAGAGGCCUUGCUUUUUCCCUGGACCCUGGCAUCAUGGUUUCCAAUUUUAUGGGGUUUCUCAGAGUCCUGGGUUACCUGCUGCUGUUUGGAUUGCAGCUCAUCUGCUCACAUCCUUCCACUGAACACAGAAAGGUCCCUCAGCGGAUGGCAGUGGUGGAGGGCGCCCCCGAGGAAGGCGGCGUCCCAGGAGUGUGGGGCGCCUGGGGCCCCUGGUCCGCCUGCUCACGCAGCUGCAGCGGAGGCGUGAAGGAGCAGACACGGCCCUGCCUGCCUGGACCCCACCGCGCGCUCGGCCCCAGGCCCCUAGCCCCCGCGCACGCCUUCGCGGGCCACGUGGUGUCGGCUGUGCGCACUUCAGUGCCACUGCACCGGAGCCGGGAAGAGCCUCGCUCCUCCGCCGGCUUCAACGCCAGCCGCCAGGGUCCGGUGCUCCGGGGCAGCCGGCACUCGCAAGCGCGGGUGCGAGAACCCACCGCGGAGAGAAGGAGCAGGACCCGAGGUCCGAUCGGCCCUGGCAAGUAUGGCUAUGGAAAGGCCCCAUACAUUUUACCACUGCAGACAGACUCUACACACUCAACGCAGAGACUUCGGAGGCAGAGGUCCUCGUCCCGGCAUUCCAGAUUCCAAGAGGCAUCAGGCCUUAGCUAUGGCUAUAGCCCUCCAGGUGGCGGGGCCCCACACCAUGGACCUCUGUACCAGAGUGACAGUGGCCCUCAUUCUGGACUGCGGACCUCAGAGGCUUCCAUCUACCAGCUGCCUUUGACCCAUGACCAGAGCUUCCCUUUAGCCUCAAGUUCCUUGCACAGCCCAGAAACAAGCAGCAGCCAUGGCAUGGGGGCCCACAGUGCAGCCCUGAGCUUUGCCCAGCCAGCCCGGUCUGCAGCAAUCUCCUGCAUUGGGGCCUAUCACCAAUACAAGCUGUGCAACACUGACGUGUGUCCAGAAAGCAGUAGGAGUAUUCGGGAGGUACAGUGUGCAUCCUACAACAACAAGCCAUUCAUGGGCCGCUUUUAUGAAUGGGAACCAUUUGCAGAAGUAAAGGGCAAUCGAAAGUGUGAGUUGAACUGCCAGGCAAUGGGCUAUCGCUUCUAUGUACGGCAAGCUGAGAAGGUCAUUGAUGGCACCCCCUGCGACCAGAAUGGCUCGGCCAUCUGCGUGUCUGGGCAAUGCAAGAGCAUCGGCUGUGAUGACUACUUAGGCUCCGACAAAGUGGUGGACAAAUGCGGGGUGUGUGGAGGCGAUAACACAGGCUGUCAGGUUGUGUCAGGCGUGUUUAAGCAUGCCCUCACAAGCCUGGGCUACCAUCGAGUUGUUGAGAUUCCCCAAGGAGCCACAAAGAUCAACAUCACUGAGAUGCACAAGAGCAACAACUAUUUGGCUUUGCGAAGUCGUUCUGGCCGCUCCAUCAUCAAUGGGAACUGGGCAAUUGACAGGCCGGGAAAAUAUGAGGGUGGAGGGACGAUGUUCACCUACAAGCGUCCAAAUGAGAUUUCGAGCACUGCUGGAGAGUCCUUUCUGGCUGAAGGUCCCACUAACGAGACCUUGGAUGUUUAUAUGAUACACCAGCAGCCUAACCCAGGAGUCCACUACGAGUACGUUAUCAUGGGGACUAAUGCCAUCAGCCCACAAGUGCCACCUCACAGGAGAUCAGGGAAGCCCUUCCAGGGCCAACUGCUCCCAAAGAGGAGGAGUCAAGAGGCAGAAGAGAAGGAACGGACUGAGAAGAAGGAAGACUUGCAUGGUGGAGCACCAAAAAUAUUCACCUCAGAAUCUGCACAGACCUUCUCAGCCAGGCGUCCAGAUAGAUUUUCUUCCCACUGGCCAGGCAAUUUGGUUCUACCAGCACCACAGCCCCCAAGACGAAGCCGAGAUCACAACUGGAAGCAGCUGGGGACCACGGAAUGCUCAAUGACCUGUGGGAAAGGAUCACAGUACCCCAUUUUUCGCUGUGUGCACAGAAACACUCAUGAAGAGGUUCCCGAGAGCUACUGUGACUCCAGCAUGAAGCCGACCCCUGAGGAAGAGCCUUGCAGCAUCUUCCCUUGCCCAGCCUUUUGGGACAUCGGGGAGUGGUCAGAGUGCAGCAAAACCUGCGGCCUCGGCAUGCAGCAUCGUCAGGUUCUGUGCCGCCAGGUGUACGCCAACCGAAGCCUGACAGUGCAGCCCUACCGCUGCCAGCACCUGGAGAAGCCCGAGACCACCAGCACCUGCCAGCUCAAGAUCUGCAGUGAGUGGCAGAUCCGGACAGACUGGACCUCGUGCUCGGUGCCCUGUGGAGUGGGGCAGAGGACCCGAGAUGUAAAGUGUGUGAGCAACAUUGGGGACGUGGUUGACGACGAGGAAUGCAACAUGAAGCUCCGGCCGAAUGACAUUGAGAACUGUGACAUGGGGCCCUGUGCAAGGAGCUGGUUCCUCACUGAGUGGGGUGAGAGGUGUUCAGCAGAGUGCGGGGCUGGAGUGCGGACACGCUCGGUGGUAUGCAUGACCAACCACAUCAGCAGCCUGCCUCUAGAGGGCUGUGGGAACAACCAGCCAGCAGAGGCCACUCCGUGUGACAAUGGGCCUUGCAUGGGCAAGUUGGAGUGGUUUGCUGGGAGCUGGAGUCAGUGCUCCAUUGAGUGUGGCAGUGGGACCCAACAGAGGGAAGUGAUUUGUGUUAGGAAGAAUGCAGACACCUUUGAAGUGCUGGACCCUUAUGAAUGUUCCUUCCUAGAGAAACCUCCCACCCAGCAGUCCUGCCACCUGAAGGUUUGUGGAGCCAAAUGGUUUAACACAGAAUGGAGCAUGUGCUCCAAGAGCUGCCAGGGGGGCUUCCGGGUCCGUGAAGUACGCUGUCUGUCAGAUGACAUGGCCCUAAGUAAUCUCUGUGACCCUCAUUUGAAACCAGAAGAGAAAGAAUCCUGCAACCCUCAAGACUGUGUCCCUGAAGUUGAUGAAAGCUGCAAGGACAGAUACUACAACUGCAAUGUGGUGGUGCAAGCCCGCCUCUGCGUCUACAACUACUACAAGACUGCCUGCUGUGCCUCCUGCACUCGCGUGGCCAACAGACACUCAGGCUUCCUGGGGAGCAGAUAACACCUCUGCUCCUACUCAAGGGGCAGAGCAGUGAGUCUGUAAGAGGCUGACCAUCAGGCUGCUGAUCCACCAGGGCUUCCUGGCCCAGGGUGCUGCCAGCCAAUUUGGUCACCAGCCUCACCUUCACUAAAGUGUACACACAGUGCCAGGCACAGAGUCAUGGCUCUGAGCAUCACCAUCAACUGAAUUUCUCUCCUUGGGAAACCUGAAAACCUCUAAGAGUGAUCUCUGAAAACCAGUCAGGGGGGCGUGCAGGCAGCUCUCAGCCAACCUCUCCUGGGAUUUUCUAAGGCAGCCCUGACUGAACACUAUCUCCCCGAGGGUGCUAUUGGCCUUUCCAAUAUCAGCACCCCCUGGAGAGUCAAAGGAGGCAGCACCCCUAACCCAGGGCACCACGGAGACUUGCUGAGAUGCCAGCAUCCCUGUUACCUCAGCCCUGCUGUGCCUUUCCUCAUUCUCAAAGACAUUAGGUUGUUUGCCUGCAUCAUGACACAAACAUCUCAUGUCAUGCAGUGCUUUAUUGUUUCACAGGUAUAUUCACAGAUAUUAAUUCAUUAGCAGCUUACAACACCCAAGAAGGGAGGCAGGGCAAUUGCAGCUGCAUUUGUCUCCAUUUACUAAGAAAGCAAACAUUCCUAGAACCCCUUUCCCUGGCAAACAAACGUCCACUUAGAUCUCAUUGACCCAAAGGGUUCCAUGCUAUUUUAGCUGCAACACAGAGAAAGGAUUGUCCUGAUUAGCUCGGACCAAUCAGCAUCCACCUGCAGGUGCUGGACACAUGGUGGCGGUGAGAGCACAGACUUGUGGGGAGGAGCAGCGAGUCCAAGCCCUGCCCUGCCCUCUCCACUGCUCUAGCCUCCAGGGAGCUGCUCCUUAAGUGGCUUGAGGCUUCCUAACCCUAACAAAUACGUGUUGACUAAAGGGAGAUGUAGUCAACACAUAUUUAUUGAGCAUAAACCACGUGCCAAGCAUAGUUUAGGGCACUAGAGACAGGUAGACUUUACAAAAUGCUGUACAACCUGAAACUUUUGCAAAUAAGGAGACACCUCCUCCACCAAAGCAGCAGACAGAAUCAGUGCAGCCAGGUUUCCAAGGUAAAUGGCAAAUAAGCGGACGUCAUGUCUACCUCUCUGCUUCCUGACAGCUGGGAUGGGUGGUGCUCGGCAGAUUCUAUUUCUGACCAGGCAGGCAGGGAACACACACUGGCAGUGCCUCCUCUGUGCAGCACCACCAACACUUUCUUUCAUACCAGCAACCACUUGGCAGCAGGGAAAGCCGGGUCUUAGCCAGAUUAGGAAACUAACUUGUGAUCACACAGGUCAUAAGCGCUGAGGAACUCACGCCCACGUCAAAACUUACACCUGUUCCUCUUCAAUGCUCACUCUCCAUGUGUAAAGCUACACUUGGCUCCCUGAGUGUGUGCUAUGCAUUACAGCCAAGGCUGCUGUGUCCUUAUAGAGGUUCCCUGGCUUGGGGUGGAGAGCUGAGGGCACUGGCAGCUCUUCUGUGAAGUUUUCUCUCUCACUCUAUUGCCUCCAGGAAAAAUGCUUCCCUGCUACUUCUGUGACCUACUUUUACAUGUGAUUGUAAGCCCAAAGUCAAUCUUGUUUGACAGCUGGCCAGGAUGCAAGAGGGACAAAAGCAGACCGACUUAAAGCAUCUGCUUUGCUUGAACUUGAUACCAACAUCAGCUACUGCUCUCUUACCCUGACAACAGAAUUUGUGGCUCCUAGCUCCACCUGAGCCCUGGGUAGUCUUCCCUAACUUUUACACUCAUCUUUGCUUUGUGGCUCACUGACCCAUGCCCCACUCACCUGAUCCUGUUUGUCUUACCUAACCUAUAUAAUAAAAGCCUAAUAUGCUAAGUGUCUAGUUGUCUGGUCAUCCAUUCAACUUAUCAAAGCAU